UUCAAUCAUAAAAGGUGGCUUUYAGCUACCACUUACAGAUGGACCCGCGGCGCAUUAGCUAGUUGGUGAGGUAACGGCUCACCAAGGCGACGAUGCGUAGCCGACCUGAGAGGGUGAUCGGCCACACUGGGACUGAGACACGGCCCAGACUCCUACGGGAGGCAGCAGUAGGGAAUCUUCCGCAAUGGACGAAAGUCUGACGGAGCAACGCCGCGUGAGUGAUGAAGGUUUUCGGAUCGUAAAACUCUGUUGUUAGGGAAGAACAAGUACCGUUCGAAUAGGGCGGUACCUUGACGGUACCUAACCAGAAAGCCACGGCUAACUACGUGCCAGCAGCCGCGGUAAUACGUAGGUGGCAAGCGUUGUCCGGAAUUAUUGGGCGUAAAGCGCGCGCAGGCGGUUUCUUAAGUCUGAUGUGAAAGCCCCCGGCUCAACCGGGGAGGGUCAUUGGAAACUGGGGAACUUGAGUGCAGAAGAGGAGAGUGGAAUUCCACGUGUAGCGGUGAAAUGCGUAGAGAUGUGGAGGAACACCAGUGGCGAAGGCGACUCUCUGGUCUGUAACUGACGCUGAGGCGCGAAAGCGUGGGGAGCGAACAGGAUUAGAUACCCUGGUAGUCCACGCCGUAAACGAUGAGUGCUAAGUGUUAGAGGGUUUCCGCCCUUU
rnacentral:rRNA from 1 species